AGAGUUUGAUUAUGGCUCACGAUGAACGCUAGCUACAGGCUUAACACAUGCAAGUCGAGGGGCAGCAUGGUCUUAGCUUGCUAAGGCCGAUGGCGACCGGCGCACGGGUGAGUAACGCGUAUCCAACUUCCCCUUAGUAGGGCAUAGCCCGUAGAAAUGCGGAUUAAUACCCUAUGUUGUCAGUAGAGGACAUCUGAAGUUGACCAAAGGUUCACCGCUAAGGGAUGGGGAUGCGUCCGAUUAGGCAGUCGGCGGGGUAACGGCCCACCGAGCCGUCGAUCGGUAGGGGUUCUGAGAGGAAGGUCCCCCACACUGGUACUGAGACACGGACCAGACUCCUACGGGAGGCAGCAGUGAGGAAUAUUGGUCAAUGGGCGUAAGCCUGAACCAGCCAAGUAGCGUGCCAGGACGACGGCCCUACGGGUUGUAAACUGCUUUUAUGCGGGGAUAACCGGCGCCACGCGUGGCGCCCUGCAGGUACCGCAUGAAUAAGGACCGGCUAAUUCCGUGCCAGCAGCGGC
rnacentral:rRNA from 1 species